rnacentral:rRNA from 1 species
UACGUAGGGUGCAAGCGUUAAUCGGAAUUACUGGGCGUAAAGCGUGCGCAGGCGGUUCGCUAAGACAGAUGUGAAAUCCCCGGGCUUAACCUGGGAACUGCAUUUGUGACUGGCGGGCUAGAGUAUGGCAGAGGGGGGGUAGAAUUCCACGUGUAGCAGUGAAAUGCGUAGAUAUGUGGAGGAAUACCGAUGGCGAAGGCAGCCCCCCUGGGAUAACACUGACGCUCAUGCACGAAAGCGUGGGGAGCAAACAGG